AGAUGGGGGGAGCAUGCCCAUGUUCUCUGGCUGGCAAGACAACAGUGUUAUUGUGUGCAUGCUGAACAAAGGGGUGAGUACUUUUUUUUAUGUUUCUUGUGGAUAAAGAUACAGUAUGUUGUGUAUGAUCUGUAUUUAGAUGGAGAUAAUUGUAUAUAUAUAUAUAUAUAUAUAUAUAUAUAUAUAUAUAUAUACACUUGUGAUGGUGUGUGUGUGUGUGUGUGUGUAUGUGUGUGUGUAAUUAUAAAAUAUGUAAAAAAAAUAAUUUCUUCUAUCUUCUCAUAUAUUUUCUUGUCCUUUUUUCUCCUUUCUCUUUAUUCAUUAUUUUCAUGAUAUUCUUAUAAAUAAUGGAUUAAUGACUUAUAUUAGGGUAUCAAAAAAUCUUCAAUAAUGCAUCUAGUUGAUGCAGGGAUGGAGGGGGAAUGUUAAAUAUCCCACUGAACUUAGGGUGAGUAUCAUGGUUGCCUCUCGAGGCUAUAGAUUUUAAUAUUAAAUAAUUAAUGGAUCCAUGGGUAGGAUUUUAUAAUCUUUACUUACUUAUUUAUUUAUUUCCCCCUCUCAGUUUUGUAUGGCUGUCUUGGCAGUGAUGGUCAUAGUAGUUUUCAUUUAUAAAAAAAAAUAUAUAUUUUUUUUUUUUGCAAUUAACAAUAUGUUUAUUGCUUUGAUGGAUUUUUGGCGAGGUGGAUUGGGAUGUAGAUAACUGCUGGUGUAGAAAAAAGGAGCUAAAAUACUACAGUUUGACAAACAUUUGAAAUAAUUGCUUAAAAUGCUAUUUAGCUUCUAUUACCUUUCCUUUUUUUUUCUUUUCCUCGUUUCUCAUGUUUACCGUGUCCUGUCUACCAAUUGGGUCCUGCGCGACCAUCUGAUGCCUAUGUUUAUCUAGACCUACGAGUCUUAUCUUGUCUCCUUGCUCAAAAUUUCUCCUAAUAAAAAAAAUAUUCAGAUAUUUGAGAUUACAACUUCUUGAAUUGUUGAAAUACAAUCUACCUUACCCUCAUCGUAAUAAAUGUAAUGUUACAAAACACUGGGGUAUUGAAAUCAUCCUUCUAAAGCAACAAUAAAUAUUGUUUAUGCAUUUUAUAAUGUUCAAAGUCUAAGCACAAAAAAUAGCUACUACUUGCAAUCUCUCUUAAAAUUACAAAACAUAUCCAGCACUUCAAAGAAUACUGUUGGAUCUCAUGUCAGAGAGUGAUGUCAUAAGUUUUUACAUUAAUUUUAAUAUUUGUGUUAGCUCAGUCAUGGUCAAAAAAAAAAAAAGUCAUUGCUCUCAGUGGCGUCUCCAGCAUUCAUAUUUAGGGGGGGCACAUUGGGGGCCAGGGACAGAAGUAGGGGGGCAAUUACAAAACAUGUGUGUAUGUGUAUAUAUAUAUAUAUAUAUAUAUAUAUAUACACACACACACACACACACACACACACACACAAAUGUGGAGAACAUUUAAAAGUUUAAAAGUUAACAAAAUUCAGAUUUCCAAUUCAGAUUUCCAGCACCUUGUUAAAUAUGCUAAAGUCUGCUUUAGAAAUGCAAUUGUAACAAUAUCUCAUGAUGCCAGAAUUGUUACAAAACUAGUUGGUUUUUUUUAUAUUUACUUUUAAAAUAAUUUACAACAUGCAAUUUGAAGGGAAUUUAAAUUGACACUUCUAUAUAAAUAUUUCACAUAUAGAAAAUGGUCACUUAACAGUGUAUUCUCUAUGCUACAGUUUAAGCAUUUAUAGUGACACACUAUACUCAACACACAAACUCAAUUGAAUUUUUCCUGUAAGAAGAGCAGAUUUAGCUCUACUUCCAUGCACAACUAAAAAUGGAUAGCACUAAAGUUUGUGCCCUGACCUAUAGUUGGUGAAUACUAUACCAACACAAACUAAAAUGACUUGUUUCAUUCUCAUGCUCACAAUAUGGAAUCCUGGGUACAUACAUAUCAUUUACUCAAAAGCUGCAAUUAAAGUUCACGUUACUUACAGUAGUAGUGCCACUGUCUGGAGUGUCUGCUCCGCUCACUCAGUCCCUGUGCAAACUGCACUCUCAGGUAGGCAAGGUUUCACACCUUAUGUGGGGCCGCACUGCAAACUUUCUGCAACCUCUGGUAAGUAAGGUGACACUGUCACAACACUGUCUGCAAUCUCAGGAGUAAGUACCACUGUCAUACCACUCACUGUCUGCAAUCAUGAGUAACUAACCUUUGUCACACUCACACCACUCGCUGUAAUCACUGCAAUUAAUUAACUUUUCUCAGAAACUAGAUAAUACCUACUCCUCUCUGCUUGAUCUGUUCUGCCUCCUUUGCUCUUGCUCCUCUCUGCUUGCUCUGCUCUGCCUCCUCUCUGCAUGCUCUGCUUUUGUUCCUCUCUGCUUGCUCUGCUCCACUACUCUCGACUUGCUCUGCUCUCUACUCUGCCUCCUCUCUGCAUGCUGUGCUUCUAUUUGCAUGGUCUGCUUUUGCUCCUCUCUGCUUGCUCUGCUCCACUACUCUCGGCUUGCUCUGCUCCUCUCUGCUCCGCUACUCUCGACUUGCUCUGCUUUUCUCUACUUGCUCUGCUUCUCUCUGUUCCUCUCAGCUCUUGUCCUCUCUGCUUGCUCUGCUCCCCUCUACUUGCUCUGCUCCGCUCCUCUUUACUUGCUCUGCUCCCCUUUACUUGCUCUGCUCUGCUCCUCUCGACUUGCUCUUCUUUUCUCUACUCGUUCUGCUUCUCUCUGCUCCUCUCUGCUUGCUCUGCUCUUAUCCUCUCUGCUUGCUCUGUUCCUCUCCACUUGCUCUGCGCUGCCUCUUCUCUGCUUGUUCUGCUCCUGCACACAUAUUGCCUAAUACAAACUCACCCAUACACGCACACUGUCUGAUACAUCCAUCCAUACAUUUCUACACACAUAUUACCUGAUUCAUACAUCUAUACACACAUAUUGCCCAAUACAUACACACAUAUUGCCUAAUACAUAGACCCAUAAACGCACACUGCCUAAUACAUCCAUCCAUACACACAUACUGCCUAAUAUCAGACAUCCCAAGUCUCCCGGUAGUUCCGGGAGACUCUCACAUGUUGAAUGCGGCUCCCUGACACUCGCAGAUCAUACACAAUAUCCCCUUAAAUCACACACACAAUCAAAUCUAUAAAGUAUGACUUAUGUGCAUGUCAAUAUGUGUAUCUGUGUGUGUGUUUCAGUGUGUGUAUCUGUGUUUUAGUGUGUGUAUCUGAGUGUAUGCAUCAAUGUGUGUGUAUCUGAGUGCCAGUGUGUGGGUAUCUGAAUGUAUGUGCUAAUGUGUGUGUGUGUAUUUCAGUGUAUGUGCCAGUGUGCGUUUCAAUGCGUGUAUCUGUGUGUCAGUGUGUAUGUGCCACUACGCCUAUCUGUGUGUCUGUGUGUGUUGGUAGAGGGGAAGGCAGAGUGAGCGCACAUGUGCGUGGAGGGGGGGAGGGUGGGGGGGCGUAGUAAAAUGCAUUUUUUGCACCCUGAAAUGCAUUUUUGAAUGUUGGGAUGUCUGUAAUACAUACAUUUUACAUGAAAUCUAUAAUUUAUAGCUGUGAUAAUAUUUUCAUUCAUAUUGUGGGAUUUUAUUUAUAAUAAUAAUAACCUAGACUGUAGGUUCUAAUACAGGUAUUUAUUUUGUAAUCUAGAACUGCUAAUAUUGCACCUAUGCUUAAUAAUUAACUGACCACCGUUUGUUGCUGUCUACAUUCUGCUGAACACACCUUGAAUUCCCAUUAACCAACCUAGCAACCUAAAAAUCUUUCCUCAAUCAAUACUCCACCACAAAUCACUUACUACCACACUCUCCCCUUACCCACGACAACAGUUCAUCACUCUAAACAACAUCUCUUCUAUCACCCUCCCCCCCCAUCACAUCUCUAAAGCAAAAUAACUAGCAUUAGAACAUCAUUCUCUACCCAGAGUUAAUUUCUACCUCAUACGUCUUCCUAAAAUGCUAUAUUUUUCUUUCCCAACAUCUCUGAUAAUGACUUUGAUCGAGCGAUUUAACCCUACCACCUUCGGACCAAUUCCAUUCCACAUUCUCUCUUGGCUCCCCUUCUCCAAAUCAUUCUAGCCUACCUUAACUCUUAAACACACUUCCACUUCUAGUGAAUUCAAAACGGCAGUUAUCUCUCAACUUCUAAAAAAAUGAUGUGUCACAAUUAUCAUCCAACACAGCACUUUAUAAACAGAAUAUAAACCCACCAGAUUAUAGACAGAGAAAGUACCUAUACCGGUCCUUAGAAUGGCCGGAUAAAAUAGGUAAAAUAUAAAAUGAGAAAGGAGACAAGACAAGCCGAGGUCAAAAGAAGUCAGAAAAGCUGGGUCAAGGAAGCUAGAAAAUAGGAUAGUCAAAGCAAGCCGAGUAACAAGUCAGUAACAAAAGGGACCAAACAGAGAACAAAAUUGCACUCUUGGGACACUUGUAAACUAGGAAUCACAACAGAGCACUGUAUACUGGGCAAGGUGAGUUUUUCAAUGGUUGGGGGGCGAGUUUAUCAUAACAACGCCCCAAAAACAUGACAGAUCGUUGGUGGUUAGUGGUUUCGGCCGCAGUGACGUCAUGACCUAGCGUCAAUAAUAGGGGGGUGCGCACAGUGGCCGGUGUCCAGGAAACUGUCUCAGUGCUUAUGAGGCACAGAAGUGGCGGUCUGCUGGAUCGGAGAAGCAGCUGAUCAUCGGACCACCAAGUAAGUACAGAAUUCCUUACACCCUGCCCUUCUUACUAGUUUUUGAGCUGUCUGAAAACUUCUCUAAAUGUCUUGAAUGUUUUAAAAACAAAGACAGGCCCCACUAGGCCCCAUGGAAUAUUAGAUCCUGGGUCCUUUGAAGAUUAAAUAUUAAGUAAAUGUUAAAUAUGAUGUUAAAUAUACCCUUUGAAAAAAGCCUGUCAGGUAUGCUCUCAAGUGAGAAUUGCUGUAAAAAUGUAAUUUUAAAAUACAAGCCUAAAUAGCUGUAUUACAAAAAUUCUCCAAAUCAAUUUUGUUGUCCAUUUUGAUUAUUUUUUUAGGCAUUCUACUUAAAAUUCACUCUGCAUUUCUUACUUUAAUCAAUAACCUUGUGUAUACUCAUCUGCUGAUUUAAUAUUAUCAUUCAGGGACAUAACUAGAAUGACCUGGGCCCUGGUGCAAGAUUCAAAGAAGGGCCCCCUCGUUGCCCCUCCUUGCUCCUCUCUAAGCAAUAGACUUAAGUGUGAUAACUAUGGUUGCUGUGGGUGAUUGUGCAAGGGUUGGUCAAGUGUAACUGUGUUUGGGACUUAGCUUAGUGUGAUUGUGGUGGUUAACUGAGUGUAAUAUGUAUAUGUGGUGUUGGCUAAGAGUUAUUUGUUUAUAUAGGGACUGGCUGAAUGUGAGUGUGUGUUGCGGUUAGCUGGGUUUGAUUGUGUGGGGGUUGUGUGUGAAUUAAUAAUAAAUCAUAAUUACAAAACAGACACAGGUGCACAAACACUGAGGUAGGCACACAAAGUGACAGAAACAGGCACAUACACAGGUAUGCACACACAGGCAGGCACACACACACACUGAUGCAGUCACACACAGGCAAACACAGGCAUGUGUCUGUGUGCACCUACUGGAUAUACAGACACAGGCAUUAAACUGUGCUCACAGAUGCAGGUAUAGACAAAGACAGCCAUUAACAGAUAGGCAUACACAAACAGGCACAUAUUCAGGCACAGGCUUACAGACAGAAACAUGCAUACAGAGACAUUGGCAUAUACAGGCAAACAUCGACACAAAGACAGCGUACAGAGACAGCAGGAUUAAAUGACAGGUACACAUAGAUGUAGGUAUAGAUGCAGACACUGCUAUUAAUAAACAGGCAUAUACACACAGGCACAGAAAGCAUACUGGUUCAGGCAUAAGCUUACACACAGACACAGGCAUAGAAAGACACACAAACAGGUUCACUAUGAAAAAAUAUUUUUUAAUUUUCCUCCCUGAAAGCAGGGUCAGCAGCUGCAAGCCCCAUUCCUCAAUGUCACAUAGAAAAUGAGGGAGAGGAGACCUAGCACUUUCAAACCCCAAUCUCGGCUCCACUGCUGCUGUGCUUCUCCACUGUCCUUUCUUCUUGAUGAUUCUCAGCAAUUGAAGCCACACACUAUGAGUUUCAAUGUUUUAGCAUGUGGCUUACACAACAGAAGGAUCAAGCAGGAGAAGGGCUGUCAGGGCGACCAAGCAGGAGAAUGGCUGUGCAGGGAGUCCGAGCAGGAGAAGGGCUGGGCGUAGGGUCAGAGCAGGAGAAAGACUAGGCAGGGACUGAACAGGACAACAUAUCUGACCCCCAACUAUAAUUAACUGAAUUGUUUAGUACAUUGCCAAAUAGGCAAUAUAUUAAAUAACAUUAAUGGGGGCCCCAAAGCUGGCCAGCCCCCCUUAACAGGUAGAACUCCUGGGCCCAGUCACAAUUGCAACCAUUGUGACCCAGGUCGUUCCACAACUGCAGAAGAGGCAUCAGCAUGGGUCAACACGUCAACUGGGACCCCUGGAGUGACUGGCCAGGUCGCAGCUGCAACCAUGGUAAUUCCUGGUCUCAUUAUCUAUACAUGCUGUGAGUGCUCCAUGUGAGAGGAGAGCAGGGGAUCUGAUGACACUGUCCGUGCCUCCCAUCCUUACUCAGAGCACAGUCAGGGCCGGAGCGUCCAUAAGGUGGCACAGACAGCUGCCUUAGGGUGCACUGGCCCAGCGUGAGCGCUAGUUUCGAGUGACCCAGCAGAAAUAAGUAACAGGAAGGGUAAGAGAGAAGAACACUAAGGGACAUGGAGGGGAGAGUGGCACACAGGGGGGGGCUGAAAUACACAAAUAGAGACAUGAGGGGGGAGAAAGACACACAGAGGGGCUGGGGAUCAAAGAGACACACAGAAGGGCAUGAGGAUGGAAAUACAAAGGGGAUGGGGGUGCAAGAAACAAAAGGGGGGUUAAAAGGCACAUAGGUGAAGAUGCUUUUUUUUGGGUGGGGCUGGGGCGCCAUAAAAAAAACCUGUGUACCCAAAAAUCCUUGCUCUGGCCCUGAGCACCUAUAAACAUUGUAAACCGAAUAUGGUGGGAUCUUAGGGCUAUUACCAAACCCUGAAAGCAUCCAGCGUUAUGACAACAUCUAAAUCUAAAAGUGAUAGUUACUCAUAAUGAGCUAGUGAGUUUUAGUCAGAUCUGAGGGCUAUUACAAAACCAUACUAAUAUUCAGAAUACUUACAGCGAACAAUAUCAGAAAAUAAUUAUUACAACAUUGUAAUUCAGAAAUUAAUAACCCUUCACCUCAUGUCACUCCCUCUAUGCCUCAUGAUUCUUUUGUUUUUUUACCCCUUUUUCUCCCCCCCCAGAUGACAACUGUAACAGAACAUUUGUUAUUGCCUGGAAGCCCCUGCCCCAACCGUGUACUCAACACCCCUUUUUACAGUCCCUGUAUUUGCUUCAUGCAGCUGAGAACAAAGACCAUUCGUUUAUUUGUAUUCCCUUAAAAUGACUGAUCGUGUAUUUUUCCAUAACCGUUCAUAUACCGAAUAUUCUGUCGAACGACCAACCACCCAGAGCAGGAGUGUGGCACCAAUAAACCCUCUUGACCUGUAAAAACUGCAAACACCUCAACAUUUGAAUGGAUUAACAGGGUGGUCAGCGUUCGUCUGUGCGAACACGUGGCGGCGGCCAUUUUGUCUAGUCAAACGCACUCAGCGGUAUUUGGUCGUCGACCGCAUGGAAUCAAUUUUGGCGAACACCACUGAACUUCUACCUUCCGUGCAUUCGACUGGAAUCAUACGAACAAAGCGCUAUUUCGGGAAGAUAUUCAUACGAACAAACUGUAUUCAUUGAUGGUAGACAUGAACGGUUCCAUUCAUGUAAUUUGCACUUAUUGUCAAGAGAAAAAUAGACCGACCAUACAGACUGAAUCUUUGGAACUACUUUGGACAGGGAAAUGUGCGAACAGUCGGUCACAUCCACCUUUUAACUAACUCCUGAACCACAGAUCCGAUUUAACUCAUUUUUGGAUAUGUUGUUUCUCUGAUGGUACUGGUUAAUAAAAUGUAACUUUUGUUAAAAUCGUAUGGAUAGUUUUAGAGUUACAGAAAAUGUGAAAAAGUAUAUAUUUUUAGCUUGGAGAUAAUUGAGCUGAUAUAACAAUUAACUCAAUUAUCUCCUAAGCAGAGGGGAGGAAUGUACUGUAAUUAAUGGGUGUGCUAUAACUGUAAAUCUGUAUCUGUUUGGCUGCUGUGAUUCCAUUGUCAGUGCCCCACUAGGUCCACGUGAGUGGUAACCUUACUGUAAAACCUGCAUAAAAGAAACUGCUUUUUGUGGUCAUUAAACCAGUUCUGC